rnacentral:rRNA from 1 species
AUGCACGCUGGCGGCGUGCUUCACCCCUGCAAGUCGAACGGAAAGGCUCCUGCUUGCAGGGGUACUCGAGUGGCGAACGGGUGAGUAACACGUGGGUGAUCUGCCCUGCACUUCGGGAUAAGCCUGGGAAACUGGGUCUAAUACCGGAUAGGACGAUGGUUUGGAUGCCAUUGUGGAAAGUUUUUCGGUGUGGGAUGAGCUCGCGGCCUAUCAGCUUGUUGGUGGGGUAAUGGCCUACCAAGGCGUCGACGGGUAGCCGGCCUGAGAGGGUGUACGGCCACAUUGGGACUGAGAUACGGCCCAGACUCCUACGGGAGGCAGCAGUGGGGAAUAUUGCACAAUGGGCGCAAGCCUGAUGCAGCGACGCCGCGUGGGGGAUGACGGCCUUCGGGUUGUAAACUCCUUUCGCUAGGGACGAAGCGCAAGUGACGGUACCUGGAGAAGAAGCACCGGCUAACUACGUG